rnacentral:rRNA from 1 species
AGCGCAGACGGCGAAGCAAGUCUGAAGUGAAAUGCAUGGGCUCAACCCAUGAAUUGCUUUGGAAACUGUUUGGCUUGAAUGUCGGAGGGGUAAGCGGAAUUCCUAGUGUAGCGGUGAAAUGCGUAGAUAUUAGGAGGAACACCGGAGGCGAAGGCGGCUUACUGGACGACAACUGACGUUGAGGCUCGAAGGCGUGGGGAGCAAACA